GGCGUCGAAGUAGUGGAUGUCAUACUUCCAAGAAAAGCUUGCACUGUCAUAAAUAAAAACGCCUGUACCAUAACCGACACAGGUGGGUAGGUAGAGUAUACUAAGGGGCGCGAGAUAACUCUCUCUAAGGAACUCGGCAAAAUAACUCCGUAACUUCGGGAGAAGGAGUGCCUUAUUCGUAAGGCUGCAAUAACAAGAUCCAAGCAACUGUUUAUCAAAAACACAGGUCUCCGCUAAGUCGUAAGACGAUGUAUGGGGGCUGACGCCUGCCCAGUGCCAGAAGGUUAAAGAAGUCGGUUAGCAUUAGCGAAGCUGGUAACUGAAGCCCUGGUGAACGGCGGCCGUAACAAUAACGGUCCUAAGGUAGCGAAAUUCCUUGUCGGGUAAGUUCCGACCCGCACGAAAGGCGUAAUGAUUUGGAUACUGUCUCGGAGAGGGGCUCGGUGAAAUAGACUUGUCUGUGAAGAUGCGGACUACCUGCACCAGGACAGAAAGACCCUAUGAAGCUUUACUGUAACUUGAAAUUGAAAUUGGACUUUAUUCGCGCAGUAUAGGUGGGAGGUGUUGAUUAUAAUCUUGCGGGAUUAUUGGAGCCAUCAGUGAGAUACCACUCUUGUAAUGUUAGAUUUCUAACUUUGAAUCAUUAUCUGGUCAAAGAACAGUUUCAGGCGGGCAGUUUGACUGGGGCGGUCGCCUCCUAAAUGGUAACGGAGGCGUACAAAGGUUUCCUCUGAACGGGUAGAAAUCGUAUCUAGAGUGUAAAGGCAUAAGGAAGCUUGACUGUGAGACCUACAAGUCGAGCGGGGACGAAAGUCGGUCUUAGUGAUCUGACGGUACUGAGUGGAAAGGCCGUCACUCAACGGAUAAAAGUUACUCUAAGGAUAACAGGCUGAUCUCCCCCAAGAGUUCACAUCGACGGGGAGGUUUGGCACCUCGAUGUCGGCUCAUCGCAUCCUGGGGCGGUAGUACGUCCCAAGGGUUGGGCUGUUCGCCCAUGAAAGCGGUACGCGAGCUGGGUUCAGAACGUCGUGAGACAGUUCGGUCCAUAUCCGGUGUAGGCGUUAGAAUAUUGAGAGGAGCCUUCUUUAGUACGAGAGGACCGAGAAGGACAUACCUCUGGUGUACCAGUUAUCGUGCCAACGGUAAACGCUGGGUAGCUAUGUAUGGAGUGGAUAACCGCUGAAAGCAUCUAAGUGGGAAGCCCACCUCAAGAUAAG
rnacentral:rRNA from 1 species